rnacentral:rRNA from 1 species
UCGAAAGCCCGCCAAGCAAAAAAGACCCGCGAACUUGUCUCGACAUACUGCUGGGAGUGAUGCGAUGGUCGCGGCCUUGUUGCCUAGCCUUUCCAUCCUCUCCYUGCGCGCGUARGUUUGCGCGGACCCUCCGGGUGACGUGCUCAUUUACUCGUCAAACAACGAACCCCGGCGCAAGACGCGCCAAGGAAAAUUGAACAGGAGUGCACGCCCCGAACCCGUUUGCGGGUGGUGUUGGCGUAUGCAAUCUUUCGUACAACUAAACGACUCUCGGCAACGGAUAUCUCGGCUCUUGCAUCGAUGAAGAACGUAGCGAAAUGCGAUACUUGGUGUGAAUUGCAGAAUCCCGUGAACCAUCGAGUCUUUGAACGCAAGUUGCGCCUGAAGCCAUUAGGCUGAAGGCACGUCUGCCUGGGCGUCACGCGUUGCGUCACCCGCUCCCCCGUGCCUAAGCGCGCAUGUUGGGGCGUGGGUGGAUAUUGGCCCCCCGUUCGCGUUUUGUGGUCGGUCGGCCUAAAAGAGAGUCCCUAACGACGGACAUCACGACAAGUGGUGGUUGCUAAAUCGUCGCGUCAUGUCGUGGAUGCCCAUUGUCUGUUGCGGGUUGGCUCGUUGACCCUGAAGGGUGCUAGUAACUGCGGCACCUCG